rnacentral:rRNA from 1 species
GACAGAGGGUGCAAACGUUGUUCGGAAUUACUGGGCGUAAAGCGCGUGUAGGCGGCUAAGUAAGUCGGGCGUGAAAUCCCACGGCUCAACCGUGGAAGUGCACUCGAAACUGCAUAGCUAGAGUCCUGGAGAGGAAGGUGGAAUGCUUGGUGUAGAGGUGAAAUUCGUAGAUAUCAAGCGGAACACCGGUGGCGAAGGCGGGUCUCUGGGCAUCUCCUGACGCUGAGGCGCGAAAGCGUGGGGAGCAAACGGGG